CUGUGAAGGAAAGGUGAAAAGAACCCCGGAAGGGGAGUGAAAAGAAUCUGAAACUGUGUGCUUACAAUAAGUCAAAGAGCGUUAACGCUUGAUGACGUGCCUAUUGAAGAAUGAGCCGGCGAGUUACGUUACCAUGCAAGGUUAAGCUGAAGAAGCGGAGCCGUAGGGAAACCGAGCCUGAAUAGGGCGCUAGUAUGUUAGCGUAGCCCCGAAGCCCGACGAUCUAUCCAUGGCCAGGUUGAAGGUAGGGUAACACCUACUGGAGGACCGAACCGACGUUCGUUGAAACGCCCGCGGAUGACUUGUGGAUAGGGGAGAAAUUCCAAUCGAGUCGGGGGAUAGCUGGUUCUCCCCGAAAUAGCUUUAGGGCUAGCGUCAGGUAGUAGGUAGUGGAAGUAGAGCACUGAAUGGCUGAUGGCCGCUUUAGCGGUACUGAUUCCAAUCAAACUCCGAAAGCCAUUAUUGUAAUCCUGGCAGUCAGAGUGUGGGGGAUAAGCUCCAUGCUCAAAAGGGAAACAGCCCAGACCGUCAAUUAAGGUCCCUAAAUUCAUGCUAAGUGUUAAACGAUGUAGAGAUGCCCAAACAACUAGGAUGUUAGCUCAGAAGCAGCUACCAUUUAAAGAGUGCGUAACAGCUCACUAGUCGAGUGCCUCCGCGCGGAAGAUUUACCGGGGCUAAGCAUGAUACCGAAUUUACGGAUUUUAGAUUUAUCUAAAGUGGUAGGGGAGCGUUCCAUGUGGGGUGAAGUCGUACCGUAAGGAGCGGUGGACCGCAUGGAAGUGAGUAUGCCGGUGUAAGUAACGAUGAUGGGUGAGAAUCCCAUCCACCAAUUGACUAAGGUUUCCUGGGGAAGGGUCGUCCUCCCAGGGUUAGUCGGGACCUAAGACGAGGCCGAAAGGCGUAGCCGAUGGACAUCAGGUUGAUAUUCCUGAACCCGCAUAUAUGUGAUGUAGUGACAGAGACGGUUAAUCAUACCGGUUAUUGGAUUCCGGACUAAGCGAGGUACCUUGUGUGUAGGCAAAUCCACACACUUUAAGGGGAAGACGUUAUGGGGAGUGAAUGGCCCUCGGGCCUAGUAGCGAAGUUGAUGAUACUGGCUUUCAAGAAAAGCUUCUAACUUAAGUAUAUGUGGCCCGUACCGAGAACGGACACACGUGGUCAAGAUGAGUAAUCUGAGGUGAGCGAGAUAACUGUUGUUAAGGAACUCUGCAAAAUUACUUCGUAAGUUCGCAAGAAGAAGUGCUCCAGCGAUGGAGCCGCAGUGAAGAGGCCCAGGUAACUGUUUACCAAAAACACAGCUCUAUGCGAAGGCGCAAGCCGAUGUAUAUGGGGUGAAGCCUGCCCGGUGCCGGAAGGUCAAGGGGAGGAGUGCAAGCUCUGAACCGAAGCCCCGGUGAACGGCGGCCGUAACUAUAACGGUCCUAAGGUAGCGAAAUUCCUUGUCAGGUAAGUUCUGACGCGCAUGAAUGGUUUAAUAAUC
rnacentral:rRNA from 1 species